GGACGGGUGAAGUAACGCGUGGGUAACCUACCUUUAUACAGGGGGAUAGCAGUUGGAAACGACUGAUAAUACCGCAUAAGCGCACAGCUUCGCAUGAAGCAGUGUGAAAAGCCGAGACGGUAUAAGAUGGACCCGCGUCUGAUUAGCUAGUUGGUGAGAUAACAGCCCACCAAGGCAACGAUCAGUAGCCGACCUGAGAGGGUGACCGGCCACAUUGGGACUGAGACACGGCCCAAACUCCUACGGGAGGCAGCAGUGGGGAAUAUUGCACAAUGGGCGAAAGCCUGAUGCAGCGACGCCGCGUGAACGAAGAAGUAUUUCGGUAUGUAAAGUUCUAUCAGCAGGGAAGAAAAAUGACGGUACCUGACUAAGAAGCACCGGCUAAAUACGUGCCAGCAGCCGCGGUAAUACGUAUGGUGCAAGCCGUUAUCCGGAUUUACUGGGUGUAAAGGGAGCGCAGGCGGUACGGCAAGUCUGAUGUGAAAGCCCGGGGCUCAACCCCGGUACUGCAUUGGAAACUGUCGAACUAGAGUGUCGGAGGGGUAAGUGGAAUUCCUAGUGUAGCGGUGAAAUGCGUAGAUAUUAGGAGGAACACCAGUGGCGAAGGCGGCUUACUGGACGAUAACUGACGCUGAGGCUCGAAAGCGUGGGGAGCAAACAGGAUUAGAUACCCUGGUAGUCCACGCCCUAAACGAUGAAUACUAGGUGU
rnacentral:rRNA from 1 species